AUAUCAAUAAGCNGAGGAAAAGAAACCAACAGGGAUUGCCUCAGUAACGGCGAGUGAAGCGGCAAAAGCUCAAAUUUGAAAUCCCCCCGGGGAGUUGUAAUUUGAAGAUUGCGUCUUGGAGGCGACCGUGUCUAUGUUCCUUGGAACAGGACGUCACAGAGGGUGAGAAUCCCGUGCGGCACGGCCCCCGGCUCCUUAUAAGGCGCUCUCGACGAGUCGAGUUGUUUGGGAAUGCAGCUCAAAGUGGGUGGUAAAUUCCAUCUAAAGCUAAAUACAGGCGAGAGACCGAUAGCGAACAAGUACAGUGAUGGAAAGAUGAAAAGCACUUUGAAAAGAGAGUGAAACAGCACGUGAAAUUGUUGAAAGGGAAGGGCAUGCCGUCAGAUUGUCAGUGUGGGUAAGAAGCGGGGUACAAAGACUGUGGAACGUGGCCCUCGGGUGUUAUAGCCGCAGUUCAUGCCCCGUCUCUUUCCGAGGCCUGCUUUGAGGACACCGACGUAAUGACGGUACGCCGCCCGUCUUGAAACACGGACCAAAAGAA
rnacentral:rRNA from 1 species